rnacentral:siRNA from 1 species
UAAAACUUGAUUGAUAUACCUA